rnacentral:rRNA from 1 species
UUGCUUUGGCGGGCCCGCCUCGGCCACCGGCUCCGGCUGGUGAGCGCCCGCCAGAGGACCCCAAACUCUGAAAUUUAGUGUCGUCUGAGUACUAUAUAAUAGUUAAAACUUUCAACAACGGAUCUCUUGGUUCUGGCAUCGAUGAAGAACGCAGCGAAAUGCGAUAAGUAAUGUGAAUUGCAGAAUUCAGUGAAUCAUCGAAUCUUUGAACGCACAUUGCGCCCCUUGGUAUUCCGGGGGGCAUGCCUGUUCGAGCGUCAUUACAACCCUCAAGCUCUGCUUGGUAUUGGGCGUCCCCGGCGACGGGGUGCCCUAAAAUCAGUGGCGGUGCCGUCUGGCUCUAAGCGUAGUAAAUCUCUCGCUCUGGAUGCCCGGUGGAUGCUCGCCAGAACCCCCCAUUUUUACAGGUUGACCUCGGAUCAGGUAGGGAUACCCGCUGAACUUAAGCAUAUCUAGGCCG